GACGAACGCUGGCGGCGUGCUUAACACAUGCAAGUCGAACGGAAAGGCCCUGCUUUUGUGGGGUGCUCGAGUGGCGAACGGGUGAGUAACACGUGAGUAACCUGCCCCUGACUUUGGGAUAACUUCAGGAAACUGGGGCUAAUACCGGAUAUGAGAUCCUGCUGCAUGGUGUGGGUUGGAAAGUUUCGGCGGUUGGGGAUGGACUCGCGGCUUAUCAGCUUGUUGGUGGGGUAGUGGCUUACCAAGGCUUUGACGGGUAGCCGGCCUGAGAGGGUGACCGGCCACAUUGGGACUGAGGUACGGCCCAGACUCCUACGUGACGCAGCAGUGGGGAAUAUUGCACAAUGGGCGGAAGCCUGAUGCAGCAACGCCGCGUGCGGGAUGACGGCCUUCGGGUUGUAAACCGCUUUCGCCUGUGACGAAGCGUGAGUGACGGUAAUGGGUAAAGAAGCACCGGCUAACUACGUG
rnacentral:rRNA from 1 species